GAGUCAAACAGAUCUGUAAGCCAAACCCCAGAAGAAGGUCCAUGCGCCCCUGGGAAGUGCUGACAUGGGCAGCUGGCCCAGGAAGCAGGGCAGAGAAGAGCAUCAGAGAAGUCCUACUCUCUGUUGGCAGCUUGCUCACAGAGGAUUAAAGGGCAGACUGAGCCCAGUUGAUUCUUCCCCAAACUAUCAGUCAGAAAAGUCACUCUGCCUCCUCUCGGGUAGGAGAGGGAAGGAAGGGAGGGAGCCAGGAGGUAGACUCACUAAAGCAUGAGGAAGGCAGCAUUUGGCAUCACCCCAAAACACCUUGCACAGAAAUAUGGCAGCCAGGGCAACAAGCAGGCUUUGGGGAGGGCGACAGACUCAGUGUUGGCUGCGGGAGACCCAGUCCAGAGGAGCCUCUGGGAGGUCUGCUGAAUGAAUCAAUCACUGAUGGAGAGGAGGAAGCUAGUCCUUCCCUUCUCAGCAGUGGGAAUUACCCUCCGGAAUUAGAUGAGUCUCUCACUGAACACAGAGCUGCUUGCCCCACCACAGAUAGGGGCGUGGGUUCACACCUCCAUUUCUUCUCCAACUCAGGGGAAGAGAAGGCCCAGGGAGCAGUCUGAUCCAGGUGCUGCCAGGAUGCUGGCACAGCUGGGGACACCCAGGCAUUCUAUUUGCGUAAGGACUCACCAGGCCUCCAGGGAUACAACCUGGUAAUGACUUCAGAACUGACAGCCUGGGGUAGAUGCUGCAGACUGCUUUCUACAGAAGAUAAAAUGCAGGGCUGGAGAGGCCAUCAGAAGUGAUCCCACAUGCAGACCCGCAGGAAAGAAGUUGGGAGACAAAGGCUUGGACCCAGUACAUCUUGGACUGGAAGAGCUGAAUGCCUGGAUUCUACCAGGAGUGACUGAUGAGUGCUACAUUUUACAGGUUCUAAAUAGUAAUAACUUUAUAUUAAAUAAUUUUAUAUAGCAACUUUGUAUAAUUUAAUAUCAUACAAUUUAAGUAAAUGACUCUCCCUCAAAUGAUGAUGCCUUUAGGCAUCUGAAGUAGAUUUCAGGUAGAUUCCAGU
ensembl:lncRNA